rnacentral:tRNA from 1 species
GCCUUCGUGAUGUAAGGGUAGCACACUUGACUCGUAUCAAGAGGUCCAGGUUCGAAUCCCAGCGAGGGCA